UACGUAGGGUGCAAGCGUUAAUCGGAAUUACUGGGCGUAAAGCGUGCGCAGGCGGUUCUAUAAGACAGAUGUGAAAUCCCCGGGCUCAACCUGGGAACUGCAUUUGUGACUGUAGAGCUGGAGUACGGUAGAGGGGGAUGGAAUUCCGCGUGUAGCGGUGAAAUGCGCAGAUAUCAGGAAGAACACCCGUGGCUAAGGCGGUUCUCUAGUACGGUACUGACGCUGAGACGCGAAAGCGUGGGGAGCGAACAGG
rnacentral:rRNA from 1 species